ensembl:snoRNA Gm54781 predicted gene, 25876
UGGUCAUUCCUAAGGUUUAGAAACUCUUUCUCAAUUGUUGUGGACAUUACCAUGAAAAAAAAAAAUUACCCACUAGUUUUCUGCCUGGUUCCUUUCUAGUGAUUAGCCUAUUGGGAACAUUU